AUUGAACGCUGGCGGCAUGCUUUACACAUGCAAGUCGAACGGUAACAGGCCUUCGGGUGCUGACGAGUGGCGAACGGGUGAGUAAUGCAUCGGAACGUACCCAGAGGUGGGGGAUAACGCAGCGAAAGCUGUGCUAAUACCGCAUGUGAUCUGAGGAUGAAAGCGGGGGACCGAGCAGCAAUGUUUGGCCUCGCGCCUUUGGAGCGGCCGAUGUGGGAUUAGCUAGUUGGUGGGGUAAAGGCCUACCAAGGCGACGAUCCGUAGCUGGUCUGAGAGGACGACCAGCCACACUGGGACGGGGACACGGCCCAGACUCCUACGGGAGGCAGCAGUGGGGAAUUUUGGACAAUGGGCGCAAGCCUGAUCCAGCAAUGCCGCGUGCGGGAAGAAGGCCUUCGGGUUGUAAACCGCUUUUGGCAGGAACGAAACGGUGUCCGCUAAUACCGGGCGCUAAUGACGGUACCUGCAGAAUAAGCACCGGCUAACUACGUG
rnacentral:rRNA from 1 species